AGUAAUUUUACAGGGGGGUACAAACUUUCAGCAAUAGCAAAAAAUCUACAAGGCCAAGCACCUAUUUCUUUGUGAUAUUUUGCAUGCAUAGGGAGUUGCUAAAGCAGUGACAGAGUUUUUGUAGACCGUAUAUUUGCAGGUUGUGUAGUUUGGGAUCAGAUUUAUCAGACAUAUUGCUUGUAGGACAUUGACGGCAGAAACUUGAAAUUUAGUGUGGAGUGCUACCUUAAGGUUGUGUAGUUUGGGAUCAGAUUUAUCAGACAUAUUGCUUGUAGGACAUUGACGGCAGAAACUUGAAAUUUAGUGUGGAGUGCUACCUACUGAUAAAGCG